rnacentral:lncRNA from 10 species
GCGCCUUCUCGGCCUCAGAGUCCAAUGGCUCUGGACGCGCUUGAGGAGCCCUUCAACCCGCUGCUGCGCUGUGGGGGCCCCUCUCUGGGGCUGGCCGAGGCAGGAGCCGGCUCCCUCUGCUCACGGGGAGGUGUGGAGGGAGAGGAACGUCUGGGAGCCAGGGCCGCAAGCGGCACUCAGGGGCCUGCGCGGGUUCGGGUGGGCCGGGCUCAGAAGGCCCCGCGCUCAGCGCAGCCAGCCGGUGCCUGCUGGGCUUGAUCAGGAGAUGAGUUCCCUCUGGGCUGCCAGAGUGCCUGGGCUAGGUGCUGCAAAGUCCUAUAGCGACUGCCAUUGAGAAGUGAAGCCGGCUAGGCUUCUGGGUCAGGUGAGGACCUGAAGAACGUUUCUGUCUAGCUGAAGGUUUGUAAACGCACCAAUCAGUGCUUUGUCAAAACGGACCCAUCAGCUCUCUGUAAAACGGACCAAUCAGCUCUCUGUAAAAUGGACCAAUCAGCUCUCUAUAAAAUGGACCAAGCAGUAGGAUGUGGGUGGGGCCAGAUAAGGGAACGAAAGCAGGCCUCCCAAGCCAGGAGCGGCAAACUGCUGGGAUCCAUUUCCAUGCUGUGGACUCUUUGUGCUUUGCUCUUUGCAGUAAAUCUUGCUGCUGCUCACUUUUUGGGUCUGCACCACCUUUAUGAGCUGUAACACUCACCGCGAAGGUCUGCAGCUUUACACCUGAAGCCAGGGAGACCACGAACUCAUCAGGAGGAACGAACAACUCCAGACGCGCGGCCUUUAAGAGCUGUAACACUCAACGCGAAGGUCUGCAGCUUCACUCUUGAAGUCAGCGAAACCGCAAACCCACCAGAAGGAAGAAACUCCGGACACAUCUGAACACCUGAAGGAACAAACCCCGGACACACCAUCUCUAAGAACUGUAACACUCACCGCCAGGGUCCGCGGCUUCAUUCUUGAAUCAGUGAGACCAAGAACCCACCAAUUCCAGACACAGAAGAUGAUCCUCAAUCAAUCACUUAAAGGCCUGAAUAGAACCAAAAGUCUGACCUGCCCAUGAGUAACAGAGAGCUCCUUCUGCCUGAUUGCUUCAGCUGAGAUAUCGGCCUUUCCCUGCCUUUGGAAUUGAACUGCAACACUGGCUCUUCUUGGGCCUCAAGACUGCCAGCUUUUGAACUGUAACCACACUAUCAUCUCUCCUGGUUCUCAGGCCUUUGGACUCAAAUCAGAAGCAUACCAGGGGCUCUCCUACAUCUCCAACUUGCUAACUGUGAUCUUGAGACUUCUUAGCCUCCAUAAUCACAUGAGUCAAUUGUUGGUUCUGCUUCUCUGGAGAACCCUAAUCCAUCACUCUACAUCUUUGUUCCAUUAUACAUAUUGCUUCCCAGCAUAUUAAAUAAUUUAUCGAUUAUAUUUUUGGUUUAUUAUUUAUUUCUCCUACUGGAAUGUAAGUUUCACAGAGCUCUUGUUCAUUGCUAGAUCUCAAGCCUGGCAUCUAGUAGGUAUUCAGCAAAUAGCUGUUGAAAGAUGAAAAAAUAAAUCUAAUCUGCCAAGUGGAGGUAGGUACUGCGAAGAAGAAUAAAACCAAAUAAAGGAACUUGAGGGGAACAACAGCACUUCUUUUUAUAGAAGGUAGUUAGGUCCUGGUGGGACAAUGGACAUUACUACUGGGAUAUAAUGUUUAUCUUCCAAACUAGGCUAUCUUUCUUAAUCCUGAGAUCCUUGCAGAUUCACAUGGAGUUAUAAGAAAUAAUACAGAGAAAUCUCAUGUAUCCUCUACCCAGUUUCCUUGAAUAGUACCA